rnacentral:lncRNA from 1 species
CGGAGGUAUUAUUAUUAUUACAGCAUUCCGCUGUAUUGUUAUCACCGCAUGCGAGCCAUUACAGUGUUAUUAUUAUUACUGCCCUGUAUGUGCUGUUCAUCAGGGAUCCGCAGUUACGUACAAAUCUGACCUAAAGACAUUCUCAGGAACACAUCUCUGUAGCCCAGGCACUGCCUGUAUUUGUUUAGGAAUUUUCUAUCGGUCCCUUACUUAUGUAACUGCUACUUUAUAACCGGUCCCUAGAAGGGGGCGGGUCUUCCUGGAAGUUUUGACUGCUGUUGUUUUCAUUUUCCAGUGACUCAGAGCAGUCCCGGACUUCUGGAGAAGGUAGGCGACCCCACAGCUUAUCCUGGGGCUGGUUGCCACCCCCUGCACCUGCACCUGCGGACUAAAAUCUGCACAUUCUAACUUCUAUCCCAGAUCUGAAACCCAUAGGGGCUUCUUGUAACUGCAAGUCCAACAGAAACUCUGCAUCACCAUGGUGACCCCCUGUGGCCUACUCAGUGACAAACAGGAGCCAGUGCCACUUAAGAGUGUCUCUGUGAGCUUGUCCAUUAAUGAGUUUGUGACCAGUGUGUCUGCAACCCUCAACAUGACAAUAAGAAUUCCUUGGAGGGCCGCCUUUAUC